ACCAUACUGUGUCAAUCAGAUUUUGUUGUAUCACAAUUUGGUCUGAUUUGGCCUACUUUCAUGACAGGGGAUGAAGGAACCCACAGUCCCGUGCCCCAGGAAGAGGGCAAGAGGGGAGGAAGAAAAAAGACUGGCUACUUUUGAGAAUAUUUGUUCCAGCCCCAAGGUACAGCAGUUUAUCUGAGUACUAAGAAAUCACCCCUCAUAUUCCUCUUAUUAACACAAGAAAUGACAACUAGAGCAAAGAAAAAGGAAAUAACCUGAGUAAGCAAUCAAAGUUGCCAGCUCAAGGAAUCUUCCUGUGCUUCAAAUGAAGGCCAUUAAUUACAACAAGGCUGAAAAUAAAUUUAUUUGCAGA